AUUGAACGCUGGCGGCAUGCCUUACACAUGCAAGUCGAACGGUAACAGGUCUUCGGAUGCUGACGAGUGGCGAACGGGUGAGUAAUACAUCGGAACGUGCCCGAGAGUGGGGGAUAACGAGCGAAAGCUUUGCUAAUACCGCAUACGAUCUACGGAUGAAAGCAGGGGACCGCAAGGCCUUGCGCGGACGGAGCGGCCGAUGGCAGAUUAGGUAGUUGGUGGGAUAAAAGCUUACCAAGCCGACGAUCUGUAGCUGGUCUGAGAGGACGACCAGCCACACUGGGACUGAGACACGGCCCAGACUCCUACGGGAGGCAGCAGUGGGGAAUUUUGGACAAUGGGCGAAAGCCUGAUCCAGCCAUGCCGCGUGCAGGAUGAAGGCCUUCGGGUUGUAAACUGCUUUUGUACGGAACGAAAAGCCUCUUUCUAAUAAAGAGAGGUCAUGACGGUACCGUAAGAAUAAGCACCGGCUAACUACGUGCCAGCCGCCGCGGUAACAC
rnacentral:rRNA from 1 species